CCUACGGGUGGCAGCAGUGGGGAAUAUUGGACAAUGGGCGAAAGCCUGAUCCAGCCAUGCCGCGUGUGUGAAGAAGGCCUUCGGGUUGUAAAGUACUUUCAGUGGGGAAGAAAGCCUUGGGGCUAAUACCCUCGAGGAAGGACAUCACCCACAGAAGAAGCACCGGCUAACUCCGUGCCAGCAGCCGCGGUAAUACGGAGGGUGCGAGCGUUAAUCGGAAUUACUGGGCGUAAAGCGCGCGUAGGCGGUCUGAUAAGCCGGUUGUGAAAGCCCCGGGCUCAACCUGGGAACGGCAUCCGGAACUGUCAGGCUAGAGUGCAGGAGAGGAAGGUAGAAUUCCCGGUGUAGCGGUGAAAUGCGUAGAGAUCGGGAGGAAUACCAGUGGCGAAGGCGGCCUUCUGGACUGACACUGACGCUGAGGUGCGAAAGCGUGGGUAGCAAACAGGAUUAGAUACCCCAGUAGUC
rnacentral:rRNA from 1 species